UGAAUGAUGAUAAGAUGGUAUCUGAAUGAGCAAUAAAACCCUGUUGAAAAGCCUUCUACCAUCUCUGCUGCCUUCCUUCUGAUCAC
rnacentral:snoRNA from 1 species